GCUCAAGUGCAUUCGUGGGGGAAGGGAGGGGCCCUCAAACUGAUUGCGAUCAUGCUCUUCAAUGUUUGCGAGAGGUUUUCGUUUCGCGUCGUGGACGCGAGCAAUGAAGAAAAUCGAGCGUUUCACGAAGGAAUCAAGCACAUUGUCGAGGAAGUAGUAUUUAGAAUUACGAUCACUUUCGUAGUUAGUUGGAAUUUUCUGUUGCAGGGAAGACGAUAGGGGUCGCGAGGGAGAGAUUGAAAGAGUCGUGUCGAGGCUUUGUCAGGAAUGAAAAUGAGGAAGAUAUGGCUUAAGAUGGCUCCCUUGCUAUGGCCUGUGGCGUACGUGCAAGUGCAACGCAACUUUCCGCGGUCUGUUCCUUCCCUCACCUGCGCGGUACACAAUGCACCUGAUGAGACUCGCGGUACAUGUGAGAAGCAAAGGAUCUUUUGGCACGCUCUACGAGAUUGCCGCUACAUUAAUUUACCACCGACGGCAGAGGCUGAAGAAGGUGAAGCCGGAUCAGAGUUAUUGGAAGAAGAGUUCGGAGAAAACGAAGAUAGUGUUGGCACUUGGAAAUCUGAAGAAAGGUUGUUUGAUGCGACUGCUGCAGACCGUAGGAAAGAACAAGGAGUAGUUGCGGACUUAGACUGGUUGAGGUUGACGGACCGGGAGCUUCAGGUGCAUUGCAGAGUGGAAACUCUACGAUCCUCUGGUCCAGGAGGACAACACAGGAAUACAACUGAAAGUGCCGUGCGACUGCUACAUCUACCAACUGGACUUGUGUCAUUCGCAGCAGAGGACCGGUCUCAACAUAAGAAUCGAGCCAAGGCUUUUAAGAGGUUAAGGGAGGUGAUCGCCUUGACAGUUAGGCGGCCCUUGGAAUUGAAGGACUACAAAGCUCCACCUGAGCUGAUGCGUAUACUGCCCUCCAGCCCUCAGACACGAAGUAGGAGAGGGGGAGGCCAGCAGAUUGGCUCAAAUCAUGUUGAUUUUGUCCUGGGGGUUCAGCCUUUGCUUGACUUGCUCGAGGCUACGAAAGGCUCCAUCUCGGAAUGUGCUGCAAUUCUUGGGCUAAGCACUGGAGCGCUUUCAAGACUUAUAGUAUCAAACAGGGUGUUAUGGAAGGGAGCCAACAAUCUGCGAGCAGCUCAUAAUUUGAAGCCGCUUCGGGGAGAUUGAAUUUCUCUGCCUUGCUUGGAGGAUAAUCUGUAUCAAAUCGUGGGCUAGGGACUUCCUGAUAGACUUUUUCCUUGGCAUGAUACAACUGUAUAAUCGUGAAAUAGACAUCCCUGAGCGGGAGUGGUGGCCUACAGUACAUCGAUUCAUACACAAAAGCUGGCCUCGCCUAUUGUGGAAAUUGCUACAUCGAUGUCGUUGCACCCUACUGAUUAUUGUUUGUAGGUAUUGCCUCUUAAAACUUUUUGUUUUUUUGUUUUUUUCCCCUUCUUUUGUCUCCUUUAUUGUCUUCUUUAUGGUUUUAUUUUAAUGAUUUUUUCUAUUUGAGUACUCUCAUCUUUCUAUGUCUUUGUAAAUUUCGUUACAAAAAUUCAUAUCAGACUUCAGCACAUCAUUUCCCCUAUUUGUGAUGUGAGUUCAUCACUGAGAAUACGAUGUCAUUGUUCUGUUGCAGUGUAAUAUUAUUGAAUUGACCCCAUGCCGUAGUUCAUUUGCAACAAAAGGGAUGCAUGGCAAUCUAAUUCCUCGCAGAAUCUAUCAACCACAGGUUUUGGAGUGAUUGCAGAAUACUUGCUCAACGUAACUUACGCUGAUAUGCUUUAAAUUUCGAACUGCGUGUCGCAGUUGUUUUAGGGAGAAAUCCAUCUCAGUAACAAAGGUUCCACGUGGAGUAGAAAAAUGGUUCUCUAUUCAAUGCACGGGGAAUUUUACUUCCCAAUGGCCGGCAUUGGCCCUCCUGGAACCUCAGUAAUGUAACCCUUUAUUUCUUCCCAUGCAUCUGUUUACAAUUGAAACAAAUUACAUUAAAAUUAUAAGUAAAUAUAUUUGUUUGUUACUAACUUUCAACUUGCCUUCUUCAGAAGUGCUCAUGCCGGAGUGGUUAUCGGGCAUGACUAGAAAUCAUGUGGGCUCUGCCCGCGCAGGUUCGAAUCCUGCUGAGCACGUCCACGACGAGUAUUAUUUUGACGUGAUUGCACGAGGAAGUGUCUCGAAGAGUGUCGAUUGCUUUUUGGAUAACUUCCAGUCCGAGCUGCAGCUCUGCCGGAUUGUGACAGAUGAGCGAUGCACCAUGAGGAAUUCAGGUUCGUGUGAUGACUGAUUUUUGGUUAUAAUUAGUAAAGCUUAGUGAUUGGUUGGUCGAUGUAAUUAGCACUCAGACAAAAGAAUUUUAUCAAAGUCGACGUAAUCAAUGCGACGUUAACCACUGUACCCAAGCUCGCGAUGAAAUCACCAGAGAUUCACACAAUCGAUGUGAAGCGUUGUGAUCCGGCAGCAACCCCACAUGCCACCUCAUCGACGACUCCAUCAGAGAAGUCCAAGGCUGCCGAUGGAGCCCAACAUUCCUCAGCAUACACGCACAACCUGACAUCCUCGCUCAGCUGUUUUAACUGUUCAGCACUACUCACUGGGCUUAAAUUACGUAUAUUUUAGGAUUAGAUCACGGCAUUUUAGGCAGAUAUUCAGUUUUGGGUUGCGUUAGCGAAUCAGUAAAAGCUUCAGUUUUCUAGGCUUGUCGCCUGCGUGAUUACUACAAUUAGGAAUUCUUUCGAAACGAAUUACUGGUACCAUUCAUGUGUGCAGUACCGUAAGAAUCAAACAAGUAUUGAUCAACAUUUGCUUCA